rnacentral:rRNA from 1 species
UGGGGAAUAUUGGACAAUGGGCGAAAGCCUGAUCCAGCGACGCCGCGUGGGUGAAGAAGGCCUGCGGGUUGUAAAGCCCUUUCGGUAGGGACGAAAGCCUCCGACCUAAUACGUCGGGGGGUUGACUUAACCUACAAAAGAAGCACCGGCUAACUCUGUGCCAGCAGCCGCGGUAAUACAGAGGGUGCAAGCGUUAAUCGGAAUUACUGGGCGUAAAGCGCACGUAGGCGGCUUGGCAUGUCGGGUGUGAAAUCCCCGGGCUCAACCUGGGAACUGCAUCCGAAACUGCCUUGCUAGAGUAUGGGAGAGGGAAGUGGAAUUUCCGGUGUAGCGGUGAAAUGCGUAGAUAUCGGAAGGAACAUCAGUGGCGAAGGCGACUUCCUGGACCAAUACUGACGCUCAGGUGCGAAAGCGUGGGGAGCAAACAGG